rnacentral:rRNA from 1 species
CGCAGCGACGCCGCGUGAGGGAUGAAGGUUCUCGUAAUCGUAAACCUCUGUCAGGAAGGAUUAAAUGUGCGAAUGCUAAUAUCAUUCGUACUUGACUUAACUUCCAAAGGAAGCCCCGGCUAAAUACGUGCCAGCAGCCGCGGUAAUACGUAUGGGGCAAGCGUUACUCGGAUUUAUUGGGCGUAAAGCGAGUGUAGGCGGUUAAAUAAGUCAGUGGUGAAAUCCCUCAGCUCAACUGAGGAAUUGCCUUUGAUACUGUUCAACUUGAGGACAGGAGAGGAAAGUGGAAUUCCCGGUGUAGCGGUGGAAUGCGUAGAUAUCGGGAAGAACACCAGGGGCGAAGGCGGCUUUCUGGACUGUUCCUGACGCUGAGACUCGAAAGCUAGGGGAGCAAACAGGAUUAGAUACCCUGGUAGUCCUAGCUGUAAACGAUGGAUACUAGAUUUUGCAAGUUAUUGC